rnacentral:sRNA from 12 species
CUGAACCGAUACCUGCGGCAGGCUUUCAGCCUGGGGAACGUUCCUGCUGACGCAGGCGGUUGCACUGAGUGCAUAACCGGUUCCCGUGAUACCCAAACCCCAGACACUCCGGCGCACAGGUAUUGUUCA